CUGGAAGCUCCAUCACCACACAGGUGCCACCAUGCCUGGAGCUUUGUGGGACUUUUAGCACCAGGUUCCCUUCCAUGGGAAACAGAGUGACAUCUACUUGCUCCUACUGCAGAUGCCACUAUGAAGAUUGAUAAGGAAACUGAAAAGGAAUGAAAUAUAAAUACAAAGGCUAUUCUGUGAAAUUGCAUACAAUUGCUAUGAGACAGAAGACAAUCCUGCUGAAAGAAUGGACUUUUAGCUACCAGCAAACAACAGCACACAUACAACAUAUACCUGAAGAAAGCAACUUGGAUAAAGGAAGCACUACUCAUUUGCAUUUUCAUAAUUUUAGUCUGGAGCUUGCACUCCUAUCUUGGAAAGGAAAUCUCUUUCAUUAAAGAAAACUGGUUAUGCCAAAUGCACAAAAAUAACAGUGGGAGGCACUGGCGUGGGGAUGGGUGGAGGAAGGUCACUGCAUGACUCAGAAGCAUGGCUUCCGUAAUUCAUAUUUUAA
rnacentral:lncRNA from 1 species